CCUCUUCUGCACCCGGUCUCUGUUGUCACUUCACUCCCCCUGUCUGGUUCGCCUGGCCGCUUAUAUAGAUUCCUUCAGGUAACUCAGAUGCUUCUCGAAAUCUCCAGAACAGGUGCGAAACUUCCAGCUUGUCAGUGUCAUAUUUUACAGUAAAUGGGGCGCAAAUGGGGCUCCCAUUUACUUAAAUACCAUCAAUUGCGAUCCCCCCAUUCGAAACGUGAGUAUCCCAGGCCAUCUCCGUUACAAUAUAAAUAAAAUAGUAUCGGAAUGAAAACCUACAGUGCUCAAAUCCCUAUGACAGCGAUCAUUUCUAGCAAAAUUAUGCUCCUGCAGAUGAGCCGGAGAUCCACAUUGUUCGAAAAUUUAAACAACAGGAUUUGUUGAUAACAAUCAACAGUUACUGAGAUAAUAAUAAUUAGGGAGUAGAAUAAAGUAGCCAAGUGUGGACACAUGAAACACCAUAACAAUUUGCUGAAUUUUAUUGGAGAACUUUUCAGAAAGCGAAUAUUUGUAUGCGACUACGAAAACAAUGCAUUGACAAAAACAUGGCAAAACGUAGCAAAAAUCCAUUAAAACCGUUCCUGUUUUGAACAGGAAAUAUAUUUUCGAAAUCUUUCCAUGGCUAUUUGAGUUAAAAGCGAUCCCGAAUAUAAAGAAAUGAUUCACAAUAGGUCUCCUCUCAAAGGGGACAGCCAAAUUAGAGGUAGGAUAAAGUUGGAUUACUUGAAAGGACGAGUUAUAGGAUUUUAAGCGAAAAGGUCGGUGCGAAUCAUUCCAAAGUGACAAAAGACACUUUAAAUAUUUAUGGAAACAUUUUCGACAUCCCGUAAGGAAUACUAAAUUGAUAGAUACUUCAAGAAAAUGUAACGAGAUUCUGCCCAAGAAGUUAUAUCGAGUUCAAAAGCAUUGUCGAUCGCAUUUUGGACAAUUUGUCACUAAUUGCCUCUACAAAAAUCAUCCAAAUCGAUGGAUAGCCACUACAAGCAUUUGGAGUUUAUUACCUGGGAGCGUGUAAAAACAUUUACUCACUCAACGGGACUACUUAAUUGCAAGACCCAACUCAUCGGAGUAACUCAAGCGGCAUUUUAUGAAGGUAAAACUGUAUGGAAGAACACAAGUGGGAAAGAAAGCUAGUGAGGAUUGAAAUCUGCAUUUGCAUUUUUUAUCUCAGGCAAACUCUGAUAUUUCAUAUCUCGUUGAGAAAUCUGGAAAAGUGAAAAUAAUACUGCUUGUUCUAUCUGGUUAUAUUAGAUUUGACAUUACAUGCAUU